UUGUUAAAAAAAAAAAAACAUAUAUUCACACACAUAAUACUUUAUUUAUUUUUUUUGGGUGUAAGCACACACAAUACUUUGGCACUGCAUGUGCUAUGUUAUUUUGGCAAUAGCGACAGACAAAGCGAACAUAAUAGGUGACGGUAGAAGGCUUAGAGCCUUAGGUUAGACAUAAAAUACAAAGGCCUAUACGCGUACAUAGACAAUGUAGCCUCUAUCUUUCAACCUAAAUAUGGAAGAGCAACAGCUUUGAGAGGAUACUUUAGGAUUACAGUUGUGCCAUUUGAUUCAGUCAUGUCAAAACCCUCGCCACUUGCUCCACCGGGCAAUGCCCAGUUGAACUUGUGCACGAUAUUCGCCAGAACAAUCUCAUCGAUAGAUAUUGCAAACUGAAUUCCCGGGCAGAUCCUCCUGCCAGCUCCAAAUGGAAUGAACUGGAAGUCAUUCCCUUUAUAGUCUAGACCGUUAUUCAAGAACCUUUCUGGCUCGUACUCCUCUGGGUUUUCAUACGUUUCAGGAUCUCUUCCGAUUCCCCACGCGUUGAUCAUAACAAGUGUCUUGGCCUUAAUGUCGUAAUCAUUUAUUUUCACAUCUUGUGUCGACACCCUGGGAAGUAGUAAUGGACCUGGAGUAUGUAAGCGAAGAGUCUCCUUGAUCACUGCCUUCAAGUAGUGCAUGCCUACCAAAUCAUCCUCUGUAAUUAUGUCUGUUAUGUUUCCGACUAUUCCCCGUACCUCAUUCUGCAAUUUGCUCAUGAUCCUCGGAUGCCUCAAAAGCUCAGUCAUUGCCCACUCUAGCACUGCAUAUGUGGUAUGAGUGCCUGCAAUAAACAUAUCCUACAUGAACAAUGAACAAAGUUAGGUUGAUCAGGUAAAAUCAUCCAAAAGUCUUGUGAUUCAGUAGCUCAUUUUUUGUUCCAUCAUUUUGUCGACGUUUACAAGCAGUUAUAGUAAACUCUCUAGUUCCAAUCAGGGUCGGCCCUGAGGGUAGCCCAAGUAGGCGCCUACCUAGGGCCCCCACUUUGGAAGGGCCCAAAAUAAAAUUUAUAUCUUGUAAUGAACAUAUAAAUACAAAAAAUGUAAUAAAUAUCAUAAUUCAUUUGUUAGUGCAGUGGAAAUGUUGGCUUCAUUUUUUUUUUUUGGGUGUUGAGUUCGAAACACGAAGUUGCUUUUUAGUCACUAGAUUUUUCUUAUUUUUCAAAUUUACUGCCAAUUCAUCUGUCCAACUCCCAAUCUAUCUGUCCAAAUGCAUAUAAAGUUAUAAAACUCAAGUCUCUGCAAUCUUUUUUCUUUCAACUUCUCAUUAUGUCCAUUUUUAUCAAAUGUUUAAACCAACUUCCCAUUCUUUCCAUUUCUAUUGAAUGUUUAAACCAUCAUAUGGCCUUAAAGAUUGUACAAGAUAAUCAAAACUUUGAAUUUUAUAUUUUUCUUUUCAAUAACUUUUUAUUCGAUGGAUUAUUUUAAUAUUCAAUUCGUUAGUGUGAUGUUGAUUUUAGAAGGAAAAAAACACAAGAGAAACAAUUGGCGUUGAAUUUAUUAUACUCGUUAAUCAAGUUUUAUUGUUAUUUACUCUCUUGAUCAUUAAGUUUUAUUAUUCUUCACUCUCAAUCUUAAACUCUUGACUGCAAACAUUUAGUACAUUUGUGUCUAAAAACGUGAAUCGUGUAAUGUUUAAAUAAUCUUUGUAUAUUUAUCUUCUUUUCAUAUUAAUUUUUAAUGAUAUUUGAUGUGAAAAUAGAGCUUUUUAUGUAUUUAGCAAAUUCUUUUUUAUACAAAUCAAUAUACAAAGAACCGGAGAUCAGAGAAUUUUAGGGCCCCACUUCAAAGGCUCGCCUAGGGUCCCCAAAUUCUCAGGGUGGGCCCUGGUUCCAAUUAUAGGUAAAUGUCACAUUCAUGUGCAAAUCAGAUGCAAAUAGAGAGACUUACUAAGAUGAGAGCCUUUAUGCCAACUCUAUCAAGAGAAAAACCAGCCAAGCUUCCUUCCUGAAUCCCAAGCAAAAUAUCCACGAAAUCCUUUUGUUCCUCGUUCUCAACAUGAACAUGUUCAUCAUUUCCACUUUUGGACGUCUGAUCGCUAUGCUCUUGAACCACACUCUCUAGAAAGUCGUCAAAUUGCUUAGCAACCUUGUCUAUCUUGGCAUGCAAACCAUUGACACGGCUCAACCAAGAAAGCCAUGGGAUAUAGUCCCCGAUAUCCAUAGUUCCCAAUAACUCCACGAACUCCUUUAUAAUCUCCUUAGACAUCUUCCCACCUUCUUCACCACUGUACUUCCUCCCUAGAGCCACUCUACAUAGCACAUCGUUGGUAAGCGUCACAAACAUUUCGCGUAAAUUCAGAACUGAUGAUGAUGAGGAGGAAGAGGAUAAUAUAGAACAAGAGUCCUUUAUUUUGUUGAUCAUGAGCUGGGUUUCCUCUUCUCUCACAGCACGAAAAGAGCGAACCCUUUUGUUGCUCAAAAGAUUUAAAACACAUAUACUUUUCAUCUGCCUCCAGUACUCACCAUAAGGGGCUGUUGCGAUGUCUUUGUAGUUGUAGGCAAGCUUCUCAUAGAUGGUGGACUUGGGUCGGUCGGAAAAUGCGAUUUCAUGGGUUUUCAUGAUCUCACGGGCAGCCUCGGCAGAAGAGACAACAAGGACUGGGACACUUCCGAAGUGGAGAAGCAUAAGAGGGCCAUGGCGUUUAGAUAAAGCUAGAAGUGAGCGAUGUGGGUGCAAGCCUAAUUGGUGAAAGUUUCCAAUGAUGGGGAACUUUGGUGGAGAUGGCGGUAAGGAGUUGUUGGCGGUGGUUGCACUGGCAGAGGACCAUUUGUAUAGGAGGAUUAGGAAAAUGGCCACAAGCGCGAAGGAAACCGGUUGCAACAAGUCGGAGGUUCCAAGCAGUUGUAGCAUUUGUAAGAGAUGUCUUAGCAUCUUAAUUCUUCUUUCUGAAUCAGUAACAAGUGUUUUAAUUAGGAAACUUAAAGAAAUUGUGUGUCUGUUUUGUUGUUUAAAUACAGAUCUUAUGUCUUGGUAUCGUGUGGAAUAGGAUCAUCCCAUAAGCAAACAAAGUAAAGGCCGAAUAGUGCGUAUGUAGACCACAUCAAUUCUAGACAACUUGAAAGCUUUUCCAACUUGCUGACAUUGACCUUGUAACUCAUUAUUUGUGACAGAGAUCUUGGAUUCAUCUGACAAGAUUGUAGAAAAAUCAGAUGUUUACGAAUUUUAUGAAACUUGGACUUUUAUUUGUGCUUGGAUUUGUAAAUAUGCAAAGAUCUUUUGGAUAUUCUUAAGUAGGUCACAGUCUCACAGAUUUCAUGAUCUUUACAUAUCUUCAUGUUUUUGCUUACGUAAUGAAACUUUAUAUAAAACAGACGUCGUCCUCCGCAGCAGAUAUCAUCGACAUCUUCACACGCCCAGCCUUCCAACUAAAAAUGGAACGCAUAGGAAUCCUGUAGUUUGAUCAGAGAAAAGCUAUUUGAUGUAAACUCGUAUCUGAAGGUGAUAUCAUCAAGCUUAAAUGUAGAAAAAUACCACCUCUGAUGAUAUUUUUUUAGGGGUGUAAUAUCCAUACACCCUUUUUACUUCUCACAUCCCUUCCAAUUUUCGGCCAUCGAAUCGGAUGAAUUGAAGAAGAUCGAAGGAUAAAAAUUAACUCGGGAUGUGUGAGAAGUAAAAAGAGAUGUAUGGAUAUCACACCCUGAUUUUUAUGGAGACAUAAUGUUUAUGUUUUAUGUCACAAGCGCACGCUCGCAUGCGCACACAAGAUUUGACUCUGUCUCUGCUCAUUAGUUGACGUCGAAAAUUUACAAGAAUUUGCGUUCAAUUAUUAGCAGUGCACUUGACUUUUAAGCAGUUAAUCCUCCCCCCUCGCUCCACCAGGCAGUUUUUCCCAUAAGUAGAUUCAGCCGUGUGUAAAUCCACCCCGCUUGCUCCACCAGGCAAUUUCCAAUGGAACUUGUGCACGUUACUUGUUAAGGCAAUCUCAUUAACAACUAUGGCGAACUGAAUUUCCGGGCAGACCCUCCUACCAGCUCCGAGAAUCAACUGAAAGUCAUUCCCUUUAUAAUCUAUCUGUUGGUAUAUGGUCCAGCCCAUGAUCAAUGUUAUAGAUUAUUCUAGUAAGCAAAUAAGGUGGUUGGAGCAUACUAGACAAUUCUAGCAUGUUAUUAAGUUGAUGGAAGAAGCUAGAGAGUACUAGCUUCCUUGGUUGCAAACACUACUAGGAAACCAGUUAUUAGUGGCGUUUGGAAAACCGACAACAAACAUAUAUUAUUGUCGGAUUUUAAGCAAAAUUCGACAGAAAAUAGAUGCAGUGGCGGAUAUAAUAAGCGACAGAAUUGCCUGCGUCAGGAAAUUAAUUUUCCGACAGAAAACACUCUAAAACUGACAGAAAUGGUGUCGGAUAUAACCGACAGAAAAUCAUUAAGCCAUCCGACAGAAAUUAAUUAAAAAUGAAUAAAUAAAAACUAUUUCCUGUCGGCUAAAACCGACAGGACUUAUAUUAAUAAAAAAAGGUCGUACCCAGUGCACAAGGCUCCCGCUUUACGCAGGGUCUGGGAGAGGUGAAUGUCGCCCAACCUCGCCUCAUUCACCAUCCAACCUCGCCAGAGCUCGAUCUCACCGGUGACUAUUAGGGCCUUUAAAGUCUUAGGCAAUGGAGCAAUAAUGGGCACCGUUUUCUUAGUCCACGACCCGUCAUACGACUCCUCCGCCCAUCCCCACCGUAUGUCACCAUUGUCGGCCUCCCUUCAUCACUUCAUCCAACCCUGGUUCAAAGUCAGGUGUGGAUUAAAGUUCUACAACGAAAAAGAUCCAUUGUUUGGUAUACCAUUAUUCAGUGGCGUGAGUUGAGGAAGUUUUGUAUCUAUACCAUUGUUUGGUUGCUUUCCAGCAGACGCCUUUUCUGAAAUAGUUUUAAGCUGCACAAAAUAAAUUAUAUGUACUUUCAGAUCUUGUAAAUUGAAUAUUGUGGUUUUUUUAAUCAUUUGAAGAAAUGCAAGGUAGAUGCAUGAUAAGUUUCCAAUUUAGUGACUAGAAGGCCUACAAAGAAUUGGGAGUGAGAAAAUAAGACUGUCAUUAGCUGUAUUUAAGGUAAGUUUAUGUUUUAAAACUUUAAAAUCAUGUGAAGCAACUCUCGUUGUUAUGUAUCAGGAAAGCAUUUCAGAAAAGUUAAAUAAAGGAUGGAUGGAGGGGGAGUUACAAGAUCCAUAUAGAAAGAUUAAUUAUCUUGGGAAAAUUCAUCGACCAGAAAAAGAUCCAAGGAUUAUGAGUGUGCACAAACAAGGUAGAAUUGUUGUCGUACAGAUAAUAAGAAGGGACAGAUAUGAAUAAUAUCGAAUGAUAAGGCAGCAAGUACAAUGUCUACAAGUUCCAUGCCAUAGAGAAGUGUGUGACAACUGUAAAACAAGGAACAAAAAUGAAAAUCAAGUCGUAAAUAACAGACAUGAACUUCCUUCAAAAGCAAAAUGGAAAGUCUAGAGAAUGAAAAUCGACAGCAUUUUUAUAAACAUAACCCCUUAAUUUUUAGGAGAAGCAAGACAUUUACCCUUAACGCCAAAGCUUUUAUAACAGGAUGACAGAAGAUAAAUGAUCUUUUGACAGAGAGUUAAGUGCUGUAUAAUUACUUUAGUCUAAAAAAGCAUUGCAAUUGGCACUGUUCUUUACUGUUCAUUGUUUUUGGACCCCAAUUUCACUCUAUUUAUGGACUUGCCAUUCAUCUUAGCAUUUCGCCUGGGCUUUUUUUUCCAGGUUUAGUUGGAUAGGCUUUUGGGGGUUUGGGCUGUGACUUGGUUGGUGCCUUUCGUUUGUGGUUGGAUUUUUCGGAUGGAUGGCCGACACGGGCAGGCCUAGCCUGCAACAAAGCCAGUGAGAAGGGAGAGGGAGGUGUCGUGUGAUGCGAGAGAGAAGGCAAGGCAGGUGACCUUCUCAAAGAGGAGAAGCGGGGAUUUGAAGAAAGCUGGAGAGAUGUCGAUUCUGUGUGAAUCUGAAGCUGUUGUUAUCAUCUUUUCUCAAACUGGCAAGCUCCUUGAUUUCUCAAGCUCCAGGUACCAACCCUGUACAACAUCCCACCGCCUUAUAAAUUCUUUCGAAUUUUCCAAUUUGUUUUUGCAAGUUUUCAAUCCAGUGUUGGACUUUGAGAAAUAAGUUUUGGAAUUGCUUUUUAGGUAUGGAUUUUAUGGGAGGCGUCUAGAAAGUUCCAACUUUUAUCUUCAUGUUUAAGAGUCAGAAAGCACGGGAUGCUAAGGAUCGACUUGAACCGGUUGCCUCGCAGGCUCAAAAGGUCACAUAUACUAUAUGCUGAUACGUUUCCUGCAAUCUUUGGUCUAUGAGACUAUGAGUAUGGUGUCAUUUUGCAAUUGGCUUCUUUGUUUUUGAUUGCAGAUGAACAACAUUGUUACUGAACAAUGGAUUCAAAUUCAGCGACUUGAGCAGGCUUUUCAUAGUACUCAAGUAAGCAUUUGUACUUGAGACUGGCUUCUCAUUCUGUGUGCAAGUUUUAUCGAAAUGAGCUUUAUUAAUUGGUUUAACUCGGUUAGGACUAUGAGGUUUCAAAGGCAAGUGAGCUCUAGAAGAUGCACAUUCUUGAAGGUAAUAGUUUAGAAAAGUCUGUAUGUGUGAGUCGGUGAGGCUUCAUUUAACCAAUUAGAAACCACUUUCCUGUAUAAUUAGAGUUAUAGAAUGCAGUGAAAUAUAUAUAUUUUUUUUUCAGUGUAAUUAGUCUUUUUUAACUUUUAUUCUGUUUGUGCAACAUCCUUAGGCCGUUGUGAAGUGUAUAAUUAGAGUCAAUAGAAUGCAAUGAAAUAUAAUGUUUUUUUCACUCUCUUUAGAUUUUUUUCUUUUACUUUAUUCUCUUUGUGCAAGAUCCUAGGCCGUUGUGAAGUCGUCGUUCUCAACCAAUUUUCUAUGGAUAUAUCUAAGAUUAAGUUCGAUGUAUAUAAGCAUUGAAGUGGUGACCUUUUAUUCACAAAUUGUGUGCACUCUGACCUGAUUUAUCUAAAGAAUUAUCCGAUUGGGGUAUGGUUUUUAGCACACCCACACCCCACCCAAAAAUAAAAUAAAAUGGUGAGGUGGUGUUGCUGUCAUUUUUACCAUUGUCAAUCAUUAUAAUUUUAGCUAAUAAGACAAUAUUAUGUUCAUUCUUCUAUAUUCGAGUUCAAAUCGUUCUAUUUUCAGUUUUGUAAGAGAUUAUCUUUUACCAAUUGUCAAGGUGCUUCCAACCAUAAAUUGAUAUAUUACUUACCUUUAUUUUUUCUCUUAAUUUAUCAGGAAUUUAUUUGCGCAUGUGUAGUGUAGACAAUUUUAACCCAUGAGUAUUUAACUUUAAUUGGAAAUGAUCUUUGUAUGAAAUUAUCUUGCUCACUGUUUGGAUUCCGAGAAAAUUUAGGGGAUGUCCAGUAAUAUUCACAUCCUGAAAACUCAGUGAAUGACGAAUUUGGAAUUGAGAAUUGGGGUGGGGAGAGUAAAAAAAAAAAGAAUGUGGUGGGUGUCUGUUUCGGGGUAGACAGACAGGCGGUGGAGGAGCUAGGGUUAGAAAAAGGGAAGAAAGAGAUAGAAAGAGAGUUGGAGAAUUUAGGGUAAUACGAUGAGGAGUGAGAAAGAAGAGAGAGAAAGGAGGGUGGUGGAGAGAGAGGUAAAGGAGAAGAGAGGAGAGAAGGGAACUGGCUUGGCUGCCUAAUAAUCUUCGUGUUUACCAUUUUGCUAAUUCCAUGACCCAAAAGCCCAAGUUUUUUUUUCCCCCCGAAAUUCCCCGCUGCCUGUGCCCUUUUUAUUAAAUUAUCUCUUAGAUUACUGGCAUAAAAGAGUUAUAAUAUUAGUUAGUUGUCAGUUGCAGUUUGGCCCAUUUUUCUAUAGCGUGUUUGCCCUUUUUAUUCAAAUAUAAUUAUCUGAUUACAUGUACUCCUGACAUGUUUUAGUAAUAUCCUACAGGAUGAUGCCCAUAUCUUUUGCAGGGAGUCCCAAGUGAGUUGAGCUUAAUUAAAUUGUACCUACUGUUUACAACUUUACAUUUUUUUUUGUUUCGUUCUUAAGACUUUUGGUUUUUUGUGCUUCUGUUGUCAGGUGAAAGAUGAAGUAAAGGGUGUCUUACAUUUCAUCCAGUAUACUUAUAAUAUUUUUGGCUUCUCUUUCGACCUGAAGCUAUCAACAGUAAGAUUCUUAUUACCUGUGCUUAAAGCUUCAGACCUCUUGCCUUCAUCUUAACUUGCAAAAGUCAUAUGAUGGUUUUAUAAUAUAUUAGAUGAUACAUAAUACUGUUAUGAUUAUUUGGUAUAUUCUAAUAUAGCAGUAAGUAUAUACCGUGCUGAAUUUCUAAUAAAACAAAGCUAAUCUUAAUCUUAUUUGGUGUAUGGAUAGCAGGGAUAACUAAGUAUUGUCAUUGGGGAGACUAAUGGUGCACUAUCUUUCGAUGGGUUUGUUUUUUUAUACUAAUUGCCUGCUUAUCGUCGUGGACAUAGGCGUUUAAUCUUAGGACUUUCCGCAUAUCGUAGCCGACAUUAUUUUUCCAUUCUAACAUUAACUAACGUUACCACUAUAUCAAAUCAACAUGCUAAGUGUGGAUCAGCCAUUUCAAUUGAAUAUAUAUUUAAAUACUUGCAACUUUGUUUUAUAUUGGGUUUGGUUUCAGCAGACGGUGGUUUUUCUUAUUUUGAGGCUUUUGUUUCCAGGCUGCCCUGUGUACUCAAGGUGAGCAAUUUCAAUUUAUAGGGUUAUUGAAUUGAGAUUUUUAGUUUUUCAUUAUAUUGGAGUUGAGUUUGGUAUUUUGUUUAGGUUUUAUUAUAUUAAUUAUCAUAAGCUUCUUUGAGAUUACAAGAUUUUCUUGGACACAUUACUGCAAUACAGGAGUUAGAACAAAAAGUGGCUGAUUAGAAGGCUUGAAAACAAGUGUGAAAUUACAUUCAAAAUAUUAGCAUGUUAACAAAUCAUCUUCAAAAGUUGUAAAUACAAUAUUUCUUACUAAUUUUUUUUGUUUAUAUAUUCUACGUGUUUAUACAGAAUUAAAAAAUGGUUAUAAUUGGAAUAUUACGCUUAAUCUUCUUUUGGUAUGUGUUUGAUUUUCUUUUGUUGGGUGUGUUUUGUGGCUCAUCAGAAACAGUUAGCAAGUGAAACCUAUAACCAAAGGCUUAUUUAUUUUUUCCAAAUGGUUUUAAUCUAUUGUAGGUAAACGGGAGCUACUAUGCUGUUUAUGCAGUAAGGUUCACCAUCAGCUGUAGAUACGAGCAGCAUGGCAAAGUUAAAGUAUGCGUAAAUGGCAAGAGUUUUUGCCUCAACUGGAAAUUGUAGCGUGUGUAACUAUACUGGGACAUGUAAUGAGCAGAAAUGUUUAAGUAGCUGUGGGGAGGUAAUAAACAUGUUUACUUUUGGCCUAUGCUUACUCUAGGGUAAUUGACAAACUGGUUAAUUACACACGAAGCUAAAAACUUUUGGCCAACAAACUGAUUCUCAUGCCCUGCCACAUGCUUAAACACAUCAGAGUAAUUGAGAGCUAAUUGUACAAUUUUUAUGAUUUAGGGCUUGCAUUCAUUAAAAUGGAAACACAUUCUAAAUUAGGAUUCAUAACAUUGUCUUACAAAAAUUCCAAAUGGAAAGCAGUCCAUACCUUCAUUAGAAGGGAAACUGAAAGUAUAUAAAUUAUGAAGUGCAUAAACCUCAGUUUUAAAUAUGACAACAUGAUAAUGCAUUUCAGUGCAUAUAAAUGUAGUUCCACAAAUUAGGCUCCAUCUGAAUGCAAUUGGUUUCUCAGCUAGAUUGCCAUGGAUGAAGUAUGAUGUUUUAUUAACCGCAUCUAAUGAUCUUACUUAUGGAUUGCAGGAAGAAGUUAUCAAGUUAAAAGAACAAUUUAGCCAUUUGAAAAGUUUGGUAAGCUCUUGCCUUGGUUUAUGUUCAAGCUUGAGCUUCUUAGUUGGCCGUCAAUCGCUAUAUUUUCAUUCAUUUAUUUGGGAUGUGGUGGCACUGUUGAUGCCAUUGCUAUGAAUCCCAGGAUUUUACAUCUCAGAUUUCACUUUUGACAGUUUCAAAUUGGUGCUUUAACUUUUUUUUCCCCUUAAUUUCGUAAAGUUUAGGCCUUUUCUUAAAAUUUAAAUAAAAGAAAUAUCUUUCUGGUAUUGGUUAGUUUUGAUCUUGAUAUUAUUUGGGUUUUGUGUUAGUGGGGAUGACGGUCUUGCGCAAUGUUAGCCGUUCGUGGCUCACCGGAAAACCCCCUGAUUGGGCUUUAUUAGGAGGGAACUCAUAAUGUAGUAGAUAUUCCUCAAUGCAAAGGUCCCAAUCCUAAUGACUUUAUAUUUGAUAUUUAAUCCUUGAAUUAGUGUUAAAUUCUAUAUUCUUUUUGUUUAAUUUGUGCGUGUUUUUUUUUUUUUUUUUCUGUUUUCCAAGUAUAAAUGCUGCCGUGGAGCUGCUUAAACAAGGUCUCUUUUCGGUUAUUAAAACUCAAUGUUACCUGCUUUCACUUCCAGUUUUUGAGUCUUCUAUUUGUUUGUUUGCUGCAAUUAUUCAACUUAUGCUGCUAUAAUAUUUGUUUCCUUCUGUUUUGUCCUCUGCAUUAACUACCAUUUGGAUCAUGUGAAUGACAACUUUCAUGUAUAUUUCGAAUAAUGAGCAGUUUAUUGCUGUUAAUCUUUUGAUCACUGUAUAUGUUGCUAAUUUACCUUCUCAAACAACGUACAUGUAAACAUUGAUAUAUAAAACUUAUUUAUAUGUUAGUAGUAUGGUUUCUUUACUUUUUGAGUUUGGUUGAACAACAGCAUUGUCUACUUUCUAGAGUUCAUCCUCUUUAUUUUAGCCCAGGCCGACUCACUCCACUCUAUUUGAAGCUCACAACUUUUUCGAACAAAUUGCUCAAAAAUUCCUGCUCUCAAACAUCUUAGAUCCCUCACUCACCCUUCUGGAAUCGACGCCCCAAAGGUAUAUUUCUCUCAUUGCUUUCAAAAUUCUGUAUAUAUAUAUAGCUGACAUGUAUUAAGACAUUCACAUAUGGUAGAACUAAAGGGACGGUAGAAUGCUCGAAUAAUGGAAUAGAGUUGAGAUUAUGAUGAGAAAGGACAGUAAAUAGCUAUCACUAUGUGAGUGUCUUAUUUUCUUUCACUAUGUAAUAGCUAUCACUAACUUUUGUUUUUACUGUCAUAUUGUAUUUCCCAUGUUGAGAGAUAGAACUAAAAGGACAGUAAAAUGCUCGAAUAAUGGAACAGAGUUGAGAUUAUGCCCGAGGUGUGUGGUAAUCUUUCUACUUUAGCAAAGCCAAAUUGCAAUUUGUUUUGGAACAAAGAAAGAUGCUCUGUUAAUCUAGGGAUAUGGCACCCCUUUGGUUUUUGGAAAGGAUUUGGUGCAUUAUUGAAUAAGAGCUUUUUUCUUUAGAAUUAUUGAAUCAGUGCUUAUGUAUGAUGUUUGCAGAUGUUACAGUAACAACUGCAAAUACAAGUUCAGAGGAAGAUCAUAUUCCUUUUGUGGUGCAACUGGAGUUUGUUAUCGUAUGCGGUGCUUUUCAUUGUAUGGCCAUAUGAAGCUGCAGAUGCAAAUAUUUCUUAAGGUGGUCUUCUUCACUAUGAAUAGAUUCAUACAUGCAUACUUAUUCACGCUUGCAUACAUACUUUGGGGUUGCUAAGAUUUUCCUUUCGGUUUCAUAGGUACAUGACGAUCCUUCUAACGCUCCAGUUUGAUGGUCCAACUCAAUGGGUGAGUAAUGCCGUUUAUUUUCGUGCGUGUAUUUUCUGGAAGUUCAUUCCUGUUUUGGGAUGUUUGAAUAUAUAUAGGCAUUGUUUAAAUUACAAUAUUUUAUUAAGUUAAACUGUUUAAAUUACUUCUUAUUUAUAAUUUUAGCCCUUACGCCACUUGGGGGGACUGCUAGUAGAGAUCAUAGCAAUUGAUGUAAGUCCCUUACUUCUGUAAUACGGUACUUGGAGUGACUGCUGGUAGAGCUCAUAGCAAUUGUUGUAAGUCCCUUACUUCCGUUAUACGGACACUUACAUUUAUGAUCAUUUUUGUGUUAAGACGAUACAAUUAUAACUUAUAACCGUCUUACAUAGAUCAACGCAUAUGUAUAUCGAAUUUACCUGCAUUACUUGAACAAUUUGCUUUUCGAUUCGCGAAGGGAAUUAAUAAAAAACCAAUAUCUGUGUAAAAGUUUAGUUUCCAACUUUCUAGCAGUGAAAAUGUUGCCCUUUCUGCAGACUACACCCUUUCACACACUCACUUUGAUAUGGUUAAACAUAUAUAUUCAAGAUUUUGAUCUCUGUGUGAUUUGGCAAUACUUUUCACUUAAUAUUCCUCUCUCUCUCUCUCUCUCUCUCUCUCUCUCUCUCUCUCUCUCAUGAAGGCACUCAUUGCACUAAAAAAAGGUUCCCGGUUAAUCAAGUAUAGCCUGAAAGGGAAGCCAAAACUUCGUCCAUUCAGAAUUUCUACUGUGAGUAAUUUCCUUAAGAGAAGAAUAAGUUUGAAUCACUUUUUUUGGAAAUUUUGUUUAUUAUAGUUCUUUGAAUGAAAAAUACUAAUUUGUACAAAUUACAAGGUAUGUUACCACUCUCCUUAAUCUACAUAUAUGCAAUGUGCAAAAUUACAUCUAUUCUCAAGAAUGAACCUGUUUUUGUUCCAUCCUUCUGUUAAGGAUUAUAAUUUCUAUAGAAUUUAUAAGUUUUCUCUCUUUCGGGUUACUUUUAUGUUUCGAAUUAGUUGGAUUUAGCAUUCUUCACAAGCUUUGAUAAUUGUUUACUUUCUAAGUUUUGUUCCAUGCAUAGUUGAUUUUCUUUAAUAAUUGUUGAAUCGCUUCUAUAUUUGCUUGGUACUUAGGAUCUAAACCAUUUUUUGCAUCUUAGGUAAAAUCGUUUUAGUUCUGAAUUUCUCUUCUUUGAUUGAUUUUGGUGUGUUUGCAGCACUCAAUGUCAGAUUUUGAGAUCAACGAAUCAGCUCAUUGCUGUGGUCGAAGUUGGGGAAGGUGAUGUGAUGUUAGAAAUUAGGCUGCGAACAGGUUCUUUGACCAAUGUUCUUAUUAAUGCUUGUGCAUUUGUGCUCGCAAUCAAAAAGGUUGUUUGAAUGUCUGUGUUUCUGUGUUUCUUCUUUGAAUGCAAUUACAACUCUGAGUUUGUAUUUGUUGCAAAUUUGUGGAAUUAAGUUGGUAUUGCACUGAUUAUGUGUAGUGUUAUAUGGGCUUUAGGAUCCACACAUGGCUACUCAUGUGAGUGAGAGAUUUGCGGAGACUGACCGGUUCAAGGUAAAGCCAUAUUUUAUCAUAUCUCUAUAUGUCCUAUGCUACUAAGAAAUGAGCUCUUCUCUGGCAUUCUGGACAAUUGGAAAUUAAGUUUUAUGCUUUUAUGUUUUUAUUGCUGAUGCCAUUGUGAUCACUUUAGUAAGUUUUGUCACUUAAAUCUGUAGGUUUUGAAAGAGGACUUUGUCAAAUGUCGCAUUCACUCAUAUGUGGUGUCGUUGUUGGCAUGUGCAGAGCCAUCGGUCUCACCGCCACGAUCUUCCACGAUUCCAUUUUUCCUUUCUUUUAAUUUAUUUUUAAAUUUUAAAAGUUUUUGUUGAUGGUUUGUUUGUGGAAAUGGAUGAAAUCAGGUGUUGGAUUAAACUGUACCUUCCUCAACACAAAAAAAAAAAAAAAAAAGGAUUGAUCCAUGGAGACUGCAAUUUGUGGGAGAAUCCCUCUCCCCCAACCAUGUCUUCAACCCCAAACCAGAUUCUCUCCAUUUUUCUCAAUUCUUUCCCUCUUUUCAGAUUUUGGGUUUCCCUCAAAAUCUUUGAUUUCUUCAUCAAUUGUAAGAUUAGGAGUAGAUUUUCUUAGCUUCUUUAAUUCAAAGCUUGGAAUUUUUUUUUUUUAUUUUAGGAUUUUUUUUUUAAUCAAACUUUGUGAAAUUUAAUGUAUAAUUGGCCUAGAAAAUUGAUUCUUUCUAAUGGCUUUCCUUUUUCUUUUUUUUUUUUGGUAAAUGGAAGUGUUCUGUACUUAUUUUGCAGAACAUGAACUGCCAAGGGUCAACACUUGAGAAGGUGAUUUGGGUGGAGAUCGUAAAGAUGGACAUUUGUAAGCCUUAUCAAUCUUCAAUUUUUAUUUUUCUCGCUUUUAUUAAACAUGAACUUAUUUUUCACUGUGAUCUGUUUUGUUAAAGGUAAUGAUAAAGAUUAAUCAAUUUUGUUUGUUUGGGGGGUUUAUGAUCAGAACCUUGAUGAGACCUUUAGUGUGAAAGGCUUUUGGUUUCAUAAGUCACAACAAAAUUGAAUACCAAAUCAAUAAAAAUCUGGCCAUAAAUGCACCACUUCUUUACUCCAUAUUUAUGCACAUAUCUCCCAAUAUAUAUGCACUGAUGAGACCAUAAGGAGGUUUCCCAAUUAUUAAACAAACCGAGAUAACUUAACAAGUUAAGUCCGAUAUCAGGCUCAAUUGUAGGUUGCCUUUAAUUAUUAUAUCUUUUUAAGAAACAUUAGCUUAUAUGUGCACUAAGUAAACUAAGGUCAUCUACUAUAAGUGUCCCUAUGUCUUUGAUCUGUUUACACUGUGUGUUAUUUGUGUCUGAUUGGUUUUUCCCCUAUAUUUCCCUAUGUUUUCUAUCUCUUUAUAUGUGCACUAAUUAAUUUGAUCAGUGUGUGUAUUAUUUGUCUAAUUGGUGUUGGGUAUUUUCCAAUUUGGGGUCUUUAUUUACUUAGUGUGCAAUCCAAUGUCUUAUCUGGUUAGAGAGAACAUAAUGUUUGACAAUAGGAUGUCUGAUAUCUGAUCCAUUCUGGUUCUGUAGAUAUGCUGAAUAAGUAGACGAUUAAUUGUAGAUGUAAUACCCCUUAGCAGGAUGUCUGAUGUCUGAUGUAGGAUGUCUGAUAUCGAGUAUCUAGAGAUUAUGUUAUCUAGAGAUUGUCUUUUGUCAGUAGAUGAUUAAUUGUAGAUGUAAUACCCCUUAGUAGAAGGAAAUUAAGGUGCAUUAACAAGAAAAAUCAAGAUAAUGUGUACACAAGUGGAUUAGUUUUUUGGCUGUCAGUUGGUGUCCAACCUGAUGCAAGUCUGAAAGUGGAUUGCGUAUGUUUAUAUCUUCCUUUCUCCUAAAUACUGAGUUUUAUGAGAUCACACCAUCUUAUGUUUAUUGUAUAAUCUUAUGCAGUCAGAAGAAUUAUCAUCUUUUUCCUUUCAGAUUUCAACAUAUUUGGAAAUACUUCAAAUUUUUUGUAGUGCAGUUUGUAGUUAACAUGAUUACGCAAGUUCUGUUUCUUUAGUAAAUUUUUAUGCAGGAAAGAAAGUCAUUUCUCAGUUUGUAGUUAACAUGAUUACAUAAGUUCUGCUUAUCUUAUCGACCUCAUUCACUCAUUUGUUCCUCUGUUCAUUCAUGAUUGUGUUAAAUUUAUUCAGGUUAAAUGUGUCUUAUUCAUGCAGUUACGCAUGAAACAGUUGUUCCCGCAGCAACGCGGGCUUAUUUUCUAGUUUUCUCUAUAAUACGGUUUAACUAGUACUUCUGUUGGAGACACCGAUGCCAUUGAUAUCGUUCUUGUUCAUCUCUUGCAGCUGGGAUGCCGGUUGAUUCCACAGCCAUGUCUUGAUCAUUGAAAGCCCAAUAUUCGAGCUGCUGCUGUUGAUAUUAAUGUUACCGACUGCACCGUCUCCGUUGAUGACAUUUGUGGGAUCGGAAAUCUCUAACGGAAGCUGCAAAGAAGAGACGGUUCUGGAGAAGAUGUUGUCGGUAGUAUUAAUACUGGCGGUGUUUUUACUAUUGUAUCCAUGCGCAGAACUACUGCUACUCUGGAUAUGCCCUUUACAAUGUGUGUGGAAUUGUUGGUUGGAAUGGGUUGCAAGUGUUCGAACAGAACAAAAAAGAAGAGAGGAGAAGGAGAAGGAAAUGAGGACAGGAGAAUAGGGGGAAGCAUCGGCGCAAGGAAAAUGGAUGGGUUUUAAAAAUUUAGGUUAUUUUAAUUACAACCGACAGAAAUAUUUUUUAAAAAAUAAAAACUGACAGAAAAAUUUCAUUUCUGUCAUUUAUAAUCGACAGAAGAAAAUAUGGCGGCAAAAUUCCCUCCGAAAAUUUUAAAAUUUUCCCUCAAAAUUUUAAACUCCCCCCAAAAUUUUGUUACAAUUUAAAAAAAUAAAAUAAUAAUUGUUUGGUUUAAUAAAUAAAUAAAUAAUAUGUAUUUAAAUAGAAUAAGUUUUUAAAAAUUAAUUAAAUAAUUUUUUAAUUUAAUAGAUAAUUUUUACACUUUUGGUUUAAUAGAGAAUAAUGCAUGUAAAAUAUGCGAUAAAGAAACAAAAAAAGAAUUGCACAAUGAAAAUGUCAUCAUACAAACUAAAUAUUGUCUAAUCAAUACUUGAAAAACAUAAAUAAAUAUUGUUUAAUGAAUAAAUUUGAUAUUCAAUUUAAAAUAUUUACACUUAAUGGAAGUAUAACAUUAACUCUAAAUGUUUGUUUAAUCUAUCGUUUUGAUGGGAUACGCAUUCUACGAAGCGUUUUUCAACGAUCCAACCGUCAAACUUGUUUGUACACACUCCGAUAUCACAUAGGUAAAAAAUCACAAAAAACAAACAUUAAGAGAUUAGGUAACAAAACAAAAGUUUUCAACGGUUAUAAACGAAAAAUCACAAUUUAACGGUUACUUUAGCUCCGAUUUUGUUGAUUUUUUACAGCUACACUCCUCGACCCUAUAAGAAUGCAUUGAAUGAAUUCGAUCUUCAAUUUAAAAUAUUUCCACUAGUGGAUAAAUCUUAUUUUAUACUUAAUGGAAGUAUAACAUUAACUCUAAGUGUUUGUUUAAUCUACCGUUUUGAUGCGAUACGCAUUCUACGAAGCGUUUUUCAACGAUCCAACCGUCAAACUUGUUUGUACACACUCCGAGAUCGCAUACGUAAAAAAUUACAAAAAACAAACAUUAAGAGAUUAGGUAACAAAAUAAAAGUUUUCAACGGUUAUAAACGAAAAAUCACAAUUUAACGGUUACUUUAGCUCCGAUUUUGAUGAUUUUUUACAGCAACAUUCCUCGACCCUAUAAGAAUGCAUUGAACUAAUUUGAUCUUCAAUUUAAAAUAUUUACACUAGUAGAUAAAUCUCAUUUUAUACUUAAUGGAAGUAUAACAUUAACUCUAAGUGUUUGUUUAAUCUACCGUUUUGAUGCGACACGCAUUCUACGAAGCGUUUUUCAACGAUCCAACCGUCAAACUUGUUUGUACACACUCCGAGAUCGCAUACAUAAAAAAUAAAAAAAAACAAACAUUAAGAGAUUAGGUAACAAAACAAUAGUUUUCAACGGUUAUAAACGAAAAAUCACAAUUUAACAGUUACUUUAACUCCGAUUUUGAUGAUUUUUUACAGCUACACUCCUCGACCCUAUAAGAAUGCAUUAAACGAAUUCAAUCUUCAAUUUAAAAUAUUUGCACUAGUGGAUAAAUCUUAUUUUAUACUUAACGGAAGUAUAACAUUAACUCUAAGUGUUUGUUUAAUCUACCGUUUUGAUGCGAUACACAUUCUACGAAACGUUUUUCAACGAUCCAACUGUCAAACUUGUUUAUACACACUCCGAGAUUGCAUACGUAAAAAAUCACAAAAAACAAACAUUAAGAGAUUAGGUAACAAAAUAAAAGUUUUCAAUGGUUAUAAACGAAAAAUCAUAAUUUAACGGUUAUUUUAGCUCCGAUUUUAAUGAUUUUUUACAACUACAUUCCUCGACCCUAUAAGAAUGUAAUGAAUGAAUUUGAUCUUCAAUUUAAAAUAUUUACACUAGUGGAUACCACAAAAUUUUAUUUUAUACUUAAUGGAAGUAUAACAUUAACUCUUAAGUGUUUAUUUAAUCUACCAUUUUGACGCAAUACACAUUCUACGAAACUUUUUUCAAUGAUCUAACCGUCAAACUUGUUUGUAAACACUCCGAGAUCACAUACGUAAAAAAUCACAAAAAACAAACGUUCAGAGAUUAGGUAACAAAACAAAAGUUUUCGACGGUUAUAAACGAAAAAUCACAAUUUAACGGUUGUUUUAGCUCCGAUUUUGAUGAUUUUUUGCAGCUACACUUCUCGAUCCUUUAAGAAUGCAAUGAAUGAAUUCGAUCUUCGAUUUAAAAUAUUUACACUAGUGGAUAAAUCUUAUUUUAUAAAUAAUGGAAGCAUAACAUUAACUCUUAAGUGUUUGUUAAAUCUAUCAAUUUGAUAGGAUAUGCAUUCGUCAAAUAUGUUCGUAUAUACUAUGAGAUAGCAUGUGUAAAAAUCGCAAAAAAUAUAACAUUUAAAACUUGUGUUUAUUUAUUUUAAUCAAUAUAACAUUUUAAAAUAAUAAAACCAGACAUGAUAAAGUACACCAGAUGUUCAUGUGUGUUUAUGUGCCAGACAAUGUGCAUUGUGACGCAUUGGAAAAAAUUGUUUAAAUUUCUUUGUAUCUUGUUGCUUGCCUAUGAGGGAGCAUAAACCUUAUUACAAAAAUGAUAAAGCUUUAGAUUGUAGUCUGUUGUCAUUAUUCUCUCAGAAAAUUUAUGGCUUGUGAGAAUUGGGUUCAUUAGACUUUAGGGUCAUGAGUGAAAAAAAAAUUUAAAAUAUGUGUUUAUUUAUUUAUUUUUAAUCAAUAUAACAUUUUAAAAUAAUAAAAUUUUCAUCUAUGUCUGUUAUAACCGCCAAAAUACUAAAAUAAUAACCGCCAUAAAGUAAAAUAAUAAAAUAGUCAAUUUUUGUUGGUUAUAACCACCACUAUUAACUUAAAAAAACCGCUAGGAUAUGUAAAAAAUAUUUAAAAAAAAGAUUCAAAAAUUCUGCCAAUAAAUAUCCGCCAGUAAUUAUCCGCCAGGAAUUUAUGUCGGAUAUAACCGACAUAAUUUGUCUAAUAUCCGCCAGUAAUUAAAUGAUGUGUCGGAUAUAAUUUAUCCGAUAGGAUUUUCUAAAAUCCGCCACCAUCAUCCGCCACCUAAAGGUAAUAUUGUAGUAGUGAAAUGGAAAGAUCUAGAAGCUACAAUGUUGUGGCUAGUCUAGAAUUUUCUAUGCUAGAGGUUUGAAGAAUACACUAGAAACUAGUAGAAUGUCAAACCCUCACUUAUAAAUAUGGGUGUGAUGUUGUAGUGAAGUAACCAAUUAAGAACCAAGUGUGAGUAGCAAAGGAUCAAGUCCAAAGCUAGAGUUCCACUCCAAGAGUGAGAGUGAGAGUGAGAGUGUUCCACUACACAUUGUGAGUGAAGUUUAGAGUGAUAGAAAGUGUGUGUCAUACUUUCUUAUAUCCAUCAAGCCUUGUCUUUGGCUUGGUAAGACUACUCUUGUUGUACUCAUCUUUUUUAUAUAGUGAAGAUUGAUCCUUGUUUCAUGGACGUAGGCAUAAAUUGCCGAAUCACAUAAAUUCUUGGUGUCCAUUUUCUACUUUACCUUGAGCAUUCUCUAUCUUGUAGUACCGACAUUCCUAACAAGUGGUAUCAAAGCCCAGUUGGCUCGUACUACGAGAUGGAAGGUAGUGGCACUAUGAUCAAACUCACCAACUCCAAUUGGGUAACAUGGAAGCCAAGGAUGGAGGACAUUCUCUAUUGUAAGGAUUUGCAUGAGCCAAUUGAAGGAGAUGCCGCUAAGCCCAAGAACAUGUCCGAUGCCGAGUGGAAGAAGAUGAAUCGCAAGGAUAUUGGCACAAUUAGACAAUGGGUGGACGAUAGUGUUUUUCACCAUGUGUCUAAUGAAACUAAUGCUCGCGAGUUUUGGACCAAGCUUGAGUCCUUGUUCGAGAAGAAGACCCCAGCCAAGAAAGCCUUCUUAAUCAAAGAGCUCAUCAAUGUGAAGUACAAGGAUGGUUUAAGUGUAGCAGAACACUUGAACAAUUUCCAAAAUAUCAUCAACCAGUUGGCUACUAUGAAAUGACGAUUGAGAACGAGCUGCAAGCGCUAUUGCUACUUGGAUCCUUACCAGACAGUUGGGAGACCUUUGUGGUGAGUGUAAGUAACUCUGCUUCUAAUGAUGUUCUUACUCUUGAUAAUGUUAAAAAUAGCAUGCUCAAUGAAGAAACAAGGAGAAAGACUUCUGGCAUAGAUAGUAGCCAAGUAUUUGUCACAGAGAACCACGGAAGAAGCAAGAGCAGAUGGCCUAGAGGUCAUGGCAAGAGUCCUAACCGAUCCAAGUCAAGGUUCAGGGGUACAUGCCACUAUUGUGGCAAAUAAGGACAUAUGAAGAAAAGCUGUCGAGUUUGGAAAAGAGAGCAAAUGGAAGGAAACAAUCAGAAGAAAAAUGAUACUGGCAAUACCACCGCUGUCAUAUGUGGUGAUGUACCAGAAAUAUUGUCUAUUGGUGAAUGUCUGCAUAUGGGCAACUCUGGCAGAGACAUUGAAUGGAUCUUUGACAAUGGAGUUUCCUUCCAUGCUACGUCCAAAUGGGAGUUCUUUAGUACAUACAAAGAAGGUGACUUUGGCAUAGUGAAGAUGGGGAAUGAAGCUAUUCCAAAAUUCUUGGAAUUGGUGAUAUUUUCCUAAGAACUAAUCUCGGCUGCCAGUUGAUGUUGAAAGAUGUGAGACAUAUUCCUGAUAUACGUCUCAAUCUGAUAUCCAUCGGUACCCUUGAUCGACAAGGUUAUUAUCACCAUAUUGGCGAAGGAAAAUUGAAGCUUACUAAAUGCUUAAUGGUGGUAGCAAGAGCACGACUUUGUUAUACGUUGUACCGGUCAAAUGCCAAGGUUUUGAAAGGUGAGUUGAAUGUUGUGGAUGACUCAUCUCUAGACUUGUGGCAUAAGAGGCUAGGCCACAUGAGCGAGAAAGGCCUACAAGUUUUGGCAAAGUCUCACAUUGCCUUUGCUAAAGGUACGUCGUUAAACUCUUGUGAGCACUGUUUAUUCAGAAAACAAAGAAGAGUUAGUUUUUCUGUUCCAUCUACAAAGAAAGGAAAUUUGUUAGAUCUUGUUUAUUCAUAUGUGUGUGGUCCCAUGGAAGUUGAGUCACUUGAAAGAAAUAAAUAUUUUCUUACUUAUAUUGAUGAUGCUUCACGAAGGGUCUCGGUGUAUUUGUUGAAAUCCAAAGACCAGAUGUUUCAGACAUUCCAGGAGUUCCAGGCCAUGGUGGAGAGGGAAAUUGGGAAACCUCUCAAGUGCCUUCGUAGCGAUAACGGCGGCGAGUACACAUCUCACUAGUUUAGAGAGCAUUGUGUGAAACAUGGCAUACGUCAUGAGAAGACAAUUCCUGGAACUCCACAACAUAACGGUGUUGCUAAAAGAAUGAAUCGAACCAUCAUGGAGAAAGUCAAGUGUAUGCUGAGGACUGCAAAGUUAUCUAAGCAGUUAUGGGAUGAAGCUGUAAGGACAGCCUGCUAUUUGAUCAACCGAUCUCCAUCAGUACCAUUAGGUCUUGAUGUUCCAGAGAGAGUAUGGACUGGUAAUGAUUUGUCUUACUCUCAUCUGAAGGUGUUUGGUUGCAAAGCUUUUGUGCAUGUGCCCAAAGAGCAGAGAUCGAAGUUAGACUACAAAGCUACACCGUGCAUCUUUCUUGGUUAUGGCAGUGAAGAUUUUGGUUACAGAUUAUGGGACCCAUACCAGAAGAAGUUUAUCCGAAGUAGAGACGUGGUCUUUUAUGAAGAUCAAACAAUUGGAGAUACGGAUAAAGAGGCACAACCAGAUGGCGCAGUCAGAUGAGUUGAUCCAUUAGCUUCAUAUGAAGAAAGUCAUGAUGACAUCCCUGAAGCAGCUGCAAAUGAAGUGCCUGCAAAACCAAAUAAUGUUUAUCAGGGGAAGCCUGAUCAAGAUGUGCCAGACCAUGAGAUUGCGCUGAUCAAGAUGAGCCUAGUCAAGAAGAGCAGAUUUAAGAAGAACCUAAUCAGGGGGAGCCUCCAACCCUGCAAGAGAAUGAAGAUUAGGUCAGAAGAUCCAGUAGAAGUUGAAGAUCGUCUACCAAGUAUUCUUCAUCAGAGUAUAUCAUGUUGACUAAUUAUGGAGAGCCCGAAACUUAUGAGGAGGCCAGAGCGCAUAACGAUAGUGAUAAAUGGAUGAAGGCAAUGAAGUUAGAGAUGGAUUCCUUAUUAAAGAAUGAUACCUAUGAGCUGGUAGAGCUUCCAAAUGGCAGAAAAGCAUUGAAAAAUAAGUGGGUGUUCAAAUUGAAAAGGGACGACAACAUGACAAGGUACAAGGCUCGUUUGGUUGUCAAAGGUUUUGGUCAAAAGAAAGGAGUUGACUUUGAUGAGAUUUUCUCACUGGUGGUGAAGAUGACUUCCAUUCGAGUUAUCCUUGGUAUGGCAGCAAGCAUGGAUCUUGAGCUCGAGCAGUUAGACGUUAAAACUGCAUUUCUCCACGGCAACUUAGAAGAGGAGACAUAUAUGGAGCAACCCAAAGGCUUUGAAGUCAAAGGUAAAGAAACUUUGGUGUGCAAGCUCAAGAAAAGCUUAUAUGGUCUUAAGCAGGCUCCGAGACAGUGGAAUAAGAAGUUGAACUCAUUCAUGGUGAGUAAUGGGUACAAGAGAACUCAUGAUGACUCUUGUGUCUAUAUCAAAUAAUUUUCUGGAGGUAAAUUCAUCAUUUUAUUGCUUUAUGUUGAUGACAUGUUGAUUGUCAGUCAAGAUGCUUCUGAUUAAAAAGCUCAAAGAAGAGUUAUCUAAGUCAUUUGACAUGAAGGACUUAGGGCCAGCCAAGCAGAUUUUGGGCAUGGAGAUAAUUUGUGACAGAAAAUCCAAGAAGUUGUGGCUGUCACAAGAAAAGUAUGUUGAACGGGUGCUUGAAAGGUUCAACAUGAAAGCAGCCAAACCGGUAAGCUCGCCUUUAGCCAAUCAUAUCAAGUUGAGCAAAGAGUCGUGUUAAAAAACAUAUGAAGAAAAUGAGAAAAUGGCAGUUGUUCCCUACUCUUCAGUGGUAAGAAGUAUCAUGUAUGCAAUGGUGUGCACACGGCCAGAUAUUGCUCAUGCAGUAGGCGUGGUGAGUAGGUUUCUCUCUAAUCCAGGGAAAGACCAUUGGGAAGCUGUUAAGUGGAUUCUCAAAUAUUUGAAGGGGACUUCUAAGAUAUGCUUGUACUUUGGCAGUUCCAAACCAAUCUUGAUAGGAUUUACAGAUGCUAACUUGGGAGGUGACCUGGAUGGUAGAAAAUCUACGUCUGGGUACUUGUUUACUUUUUCAAGGGGAGCCGUGUCUUGGCAAUCCAAGUUGCAAAAGUGUGUUGCUUUGUCCACAACCGAGGCUGAAUACAUAGCCACUACAGAAGCAUGCAAGGAGUUAUUGUGGCUGAAAAGGUUUCUCUAAGAGUUGGGUUCGAAGCAGAGUGAUUAUGGCAUUUAUUGUGAUAGUCAGAGUGCUCUGGAUUUGAGCAAGAAUACUACAUAUCAUUCACGUACCAAGCACAUUGAUAUUCGUUAUCACUGGAUUAGAGACGCUAUUGAGAACAAGUUGCUACAGCUGAAGAAGAUUCAUACCGAUAAUAAUUCUUCAGACAUGUUAACAAAGGUAGUCACAAAAUCAAAGUUGGAAUUAUGCAUUAAGGCUGCUAGGAUGGACUCCAGGUAACUUGGAGUCAUGAUCGGAAUUCCUCCCCCAUGGACUGGAGGGGGAGAUUGUUGGUAUAUGGUCCAGCCCGUGAUCAAUGUUCUAGAUUAUUCUAGUAAGCAAGUGAGGUGGUUAGAGCAUGCUAGACAAUUCUAGCAUGUUAUUAAGUUGAUGGAAGAAGCUAGAGAGUACUAGCUUCCUUGGUUGCAAAUGGAAAGAUCUAGAAGCUACAAUGUUGUGGUUAGUCUAGAAUUUUCUAUGCUAGAGGUUUGAAGAAUACACUAGAAACUAGUAGAAUGUCAAACCCUUACCUAUAAAUAUGGGUGUGAUGUUGUAGUGAAGUAACCAAUUAAGAACCAAGUGUGAGUAGCAAAGGAUCAAGUCCAAAGCUAGAGUUCCACUCCAAGAGUGAAAGUGAAAGUGUUCCACUACACAUUGUGAAUGAAGUUUAGAGUGAUAGAAAGUGUGUAUCAUACUUUCUUGUAUCCAUCAAGCCUUGUCUUUGUCUUGGUAAGACUACUCUUGUUGUACUCAUCUUUUUCAUAUAGUGAAGAUUGAUCCUUGUUUCGUGGACGUAGGCAUAAAUUGCCGAACCACAUAAAUUCUUGGUGUCCAUUUUCUACUUUACCUUGAGCAUUCUCUAUCUUGUAGUACCGACAUUUCUAACACUAUCCCCCUAUUCAGGAACCUUUCUGGCUCGAACUCCUCUGGUUUUUUGUAUAGCUUGGGAUCUCUUGCUAUUUGCCAUGCAUAGAUCACCACUUCUGUCUCGGAUUUGAUUUUGUAACCAACUAUUUCCACAUCUUGUAACCACCUAUUUUCACUACGAAGAGUCUCCUUAACCACUGCCUUAAAGUAGUGCAUUUCUACCAAAUCAUCUUCUGUUAUGUGUGCUCCGUUACCGACUAUUCCUCGUACCUCAGUUUGCAAUUUGUUCAUGAUAUCAUGAUAUGUAUUGAUCAACAUGCUAACCUUUCACAUAUAAAGUUGUGGCCGAGCCUAACAGCGUGGGCUUGUUACAAGCAGGGUGUUAAAGUGAUUAGCUGAAAGCUUGUAACAACGUAAAGGCCGAAUAGUGCGUAUGUAGACCGCAUCAAUUCUAGACAGUGACCUUGUAACUCCAUUAUUUGAAAGCUUUUCCAUCUUGCUGACAUUGACCUUGUAACUCCAUUAUUUGUGACAGAGAUCUUGGAUUCAUCUCACAAGAUUGUAGAAAAAUCAGAUGUCGACGAAUUUUAUGAAACUUGGACUUUCAUAUUUUCGUGUUUUGGCUUACGUAAUGAAACUUUAGAUAAAACUUAAAAGAUCAGUUUUUACAGAAGAAUGACCAAAAAUCAAAUUCAGAAGUCAAUCACUUCUCUCUCACAAGGCUCCAUGACGGUCUCGACUUAUUUUACAAAACUUAAAGGCCUUUGGGAUGAAUUAGAGACAUAUCGAUCUCUUCUUAUCUGUGAUUAGACAAAGGCACAUAAUGAGCAAAUAGAAGAAGAUCGGAUGAUGCAAUUUCUUAUGGGUCUUAACAAUGUCUAUAAUGCAAUUUUUUAUUGCUCUGUAUGAGAAGUAGAUCAGUGAUUGAGCCGGCAAAUUUUGUCGGACAGUUAUGGCUUGUAAAACACGUUCUCGUCUAAUACUAGUUUUUUCUCUUCCUUUUCUCUCAUAACGGUUUUUGGCCUAGUAAUG
rnacentral:lncRNA from 1 species